rnacentral:rRNA from 1 species
UGGCGAACGGGUGAGUAACGCGUGAGGAACCUGCCUCAAAGAGGGGGACAACAGUUGGAAACGACUGCUAAUACCGCAUAAGCCCACGGGUCGGCAUCGACCAGAGGGAAAAGGAGCAAUCCGCUUUGAGAUGGUCUCGCGUCCGAUUAGCUAGUUGGUGAGGUAAUGGCCCACCAAGGCGACGAUCGGUAGCCGGACUGAGAGGUUGAACGGCCACAUUGGGACUGAGACACGGCCCAGACUCCUACGGGAGGCAGCAUG